CUGAGCAGAUCCCUCCAGUUACCUCAGUAGUGCGCAGCAGUGUGCGGAGAUCCCUGGGGCUCCCUGGAUAUAGCUCUCCUGUUUGUCCACAGAUCUGGCUGCAGUUGUCUUUAGAGAAUAAUGGCCUCCUUUCUUUAGCUCUCCAAAGUGAGAUACAAGUGUGUCUCAUGACCUGGAACUGUUGAUGGCAGCAGAGAUGAGCUGAUGACAGCCUAUGCUGCUCCCCACAGCAGUCCUGAGAGUUCUUUCAAGAGACCUCCAUUCAGUUAAAGCUGAUUUUGUCACAGAAAAGAAUUUCAGAGUGGGCCAGUGUGGUAGUUUGAGUAAGAAUGGCCCCCAUAAAGCUCAUAUAUUUGAAUGCUUAGUCAGUAUUUGCAAUGAUUAGAAGGAUUAGGAGGUGUGGCUUGCUGGAGGAAGUGUGUCACUGGGGGUGGGCUUUGAGGUUUCUAAAGCUCAUGCCAAGCCUGUGUGUUCUCUCUGCAUAGGAAUCAGGCUGUAACUGUCAGCUAUUGCUGACAUACAUCUGCCUGCAUGCCCCCGUGACCCCACUGUGAAGAAGAAGAUGACCUGAGCCACUGAAACUUCACAAAGAGCUCCUGAGUCUCGCUCAUAUGCAAAGGGAAGAUGGUGAGAACGAAGCUUCACUUUGUAGAGAUGAGGACAUCUACACAGGACUCUUCUGAAAGACAAAAAGUCCACCAUUUUAAUUACAG
rnacentral:lncRNA from 1 species